rnacentral:tRNA from 1 species
GGUUGUGGCUCAGUGGUCAAGUGCUUGCCUAGCAAUGCAGGAGGACCUGGGUUCAAUUCUCAGCACCA